UAGGGAAUCUUCCGCAAUGGACGCAAGUCUGACGGAGCAACGCCGCGUGAGUGAAGAAGGAUUUCGGUUCGUAAAACUCUGUUGUUAGAGAAGAACAGCGCAUAGAGUAACUGUUAUGCGUGUGACGGUAUCUAACCAGAAAGCCACGGCUAACUACGUGCCAGCAGCCGCGGUAAUACGUAGGUGGCAAGCGUUGUCCGGAUUUAUUGGGCGUAAAGCGAGCGCAGGCGGUCAAUUAAGUCUGAUGUGAAAGCCCCCGGCUCAACCGGGGAGGGUCAUUGGAAACUGGUUGACUUGAGUGCAGAAGAGGAGAGGGGAAUUCCAUGUGUAGCGGAGAAAUGCGUAGAUAUAUGGAGGAACACCAGUGGCGAAGGCGACUCUCUGGUCUGUAUCUGACGCAGAGGCUCGAAAGCGUGGGUAGCAAACAGG
rnacentral:rRNA from 1 species